GGGGCUAUAGCUCAGUCGGUUAGAGCACACCCCUGAUAAGGGUGAGGUCGCAGGUUCGAAUCCUGCUAGCCCCA
rnacentral:tRNA from 1 species